GACGUAGGAGGCGAGCGUUGUCCGGAUUCAUUGGGCGUAAAGAGCGCGCAGGCGGCUUGGUAAGUCGGAUGUGAAAUCCCGAGGCUCAACCUCGGGUCUGCAUCCGAUACUGCCCGGCUAGAGGUAGGUAGGGGAGAUCGGAAUUCCUGGUGUAGCGGUGAAAUGCGCAGAUAUCAGGAGGAACACCGGUGGCGAAGGCGGAUCUCUGGGCCUGUCCUGACGCUCAGGCGCGAAGGCCAGGGGAGCAAACGGG
rnacentral:rRNA from 1 species